rnacentral:rRNA from 1 species
CCUACGGGGGGCAGCAGUGGGGAAUAUUGCACAAUGGGGGAAACCCUGAUGCAGCGACGCCGCGUGAGUGAAGAAGUAUUUCGGUACGUAAAGCUCUAUCAGCAGGGAAGAAAAUGACGGUACCUGACUAAGAAGCCCCGGCUAACUACGUGCCAGCAGCCGCGGUAAUACGUAGGGGGCAAGCGUUAUCCGGAUUUACUGGGUGUAAAGGGAGCGUAGACGGCAGCGCAAGGCUGGAGUGAAAUCCCAUGGCUUAACCAUGGAACUGCUUUGGAAACUGUGCAGCUAGAGUGCAGGAGAGGUAAGCGGAAUUCCUAGUGUAGCGGUGAAAUGCGUAGAUAUUAGGAGGAACACCAGUGGCGAAGGCGGCUUACUGGACUGUAACUGACGUUGAGGCUCGAAAGCGUGGGGAGCAAACAGGAUUAGAUACCCGAGUAGUC